GAUGAACGCUGGCGGCGUGCCUAAUACAUGCAAGUCGAGCGAAUGGAUUAAGAGCUUGCUCUUAUGAAGUUAGCGGCGGACGGGUGAGUAACACGUGGGUAACCUGCCCAUAAGACUGGGAUAACUCCGGGAAACCGGGGCUAAUACCGGAUAACAUUUUGAACCGCAUGGUUCGAAAUUGAAAGGCGGCUUCGGCUGUCACUUAUGGAUGGACCCGCGUCGCAUUAGCUAGUUGGUGAGGUAACGGCUCACCAAGGCAACGAUGCGUAGCCGACCUGAGAGGGUGAUCGGCCACACUGGGACGGGGACACGGCCCAGACUACUACGGGAGGCAGCAGUAGGGAAUCUUCCGCAAUGGCCGAAAGUCUGACGGAGCAACGCCGCGUGAGUGAUGAAGGCUUUCGGGUCGUAAAACUCUGUUGUUAGGGAAGAACAAGUGCUAGUUGAAUAAGCUGGCACCUUGACGGUACCUAACCAGAAAGCCACGGCUAACUACGUGCCAGCCGCCGCCGUAA
rnacentral:rRNA from 1 species